rnacentral:tRNA from 1 species
GCCUGGGUGGCUCAGUCGGUUGAGCGUCCGACUUCGGCUCAGGUCACGAUCUCGCGGUCCGUUCGAGCCCCGCCUCGGGCU